GGGACUCACUUUUCGUCAUUGUCCUUUCAUUUUCUACACUGUAUCUCACAGUAAUUUACUCUGCUCACCCAAAUUCAACUUCUGUCCCUUUCCUGAUGCUAUGAAGACCUACCUGCUUACAGCACGUCUGUCUCUUUGAUGUCCCCUUGCAGAUGACCGGCUGUCAGAUAAUUUUCAGCACACCUAAAAUAAGGAUGUCUUAUUUAGCCGUGGAUUGUGAAAUGCUUGAAAACUGGAAUCGUAGGAGCAUUAUUUAAUGCUGAGUGUUAUCCGCAUCAUAUCAGAAGCUGGAACAUGCCAGGAAAACAUCCUUCACAUUCUACAUCUAAUACAUCUGAGCUUUCAGGAUCAAUUGUGAGUUGGCUGGGUGCUCAGAUGUUUACGCUGAUGGGACCAGAAAUGCCAUCGAAAGGUCUGCUGUGCCACAGAAAUGGGUCAGACAAGUUACAAGACCUGUAGAUUGCUCGGAUGGGGAUCCACCUAGCAACACCACCACUCUAAUGCUGGAUUGGGAAAUUUGCCCUACGGGAGUUUGUCUUGAUUAAAGGCUUCAGCCUGUCUUUGCAACACAAACACAGGAGCCCCCAUGCUGCUCUCUGAAAUUUACAGCGUAUUUUCUUUUUACUCAAGCAUAUUGAAGCAGAACAGAAGAAAGGA